CUGUGAUUGAGCAUAAAUACAAGACUCCGGAAGCCUGGCCUGGAGAUCCGGUCCAGUCCUGGCGUUGCCACAUGUGUCUUGUUGGUUGCGGCCUAUAGAUUGUUGUGGCGCUUGCUUGUGAAGUGUAGAAGUAGAGCUGGAAGUGGAGGUGGAGGUGGCCAGGAUGGAAGGAGCCAUGGCCACCACUCUGACGUGCUCCUGUUGGCUGCCUCGCCAACCUUCUACCGCCGCUAAGGAAGUUGUCAUAGAAAGUGGUAGAUGUAGCAUGUUGCUAGUGUCGCUGGAGAGGACGCUGGCAUCCUUGCCACCAUUGUCGGCAUUCUGCCAAUGGCCAUGUUUGACGAGGACUUCCUUGAGCACAUGGUGUCCAGGAUGGAUAUGCUAUUACGAGCAUCACCAUCAAGUACGGUGUUUAGGUAAUAUCACGCUCCAGCAAUGGUCUUUUGGUGUGUAUGGUCCCACCUUGGGAGAUUUUGGUGUGUAUGGUUGCACCAUCAAGUACAGUGUUUGGAUAAUCUCACGCUCCAGCAAUGGUCUUUUGGUGUUUAGGUGACAACAUGGGAGCUCUGGUACAUGUGUUGGAGGCUCUUCCUUGGUCACCUGACUUGACCAAGGCGACGAGAGCGACAAGGAAUGAGUUCCAGAGCGUCUUGCCUUCCUCUUACAGUUUCGCCACUGCCUGCCACUAAGCACCAGGAGCAAGAUAGAAGCGGUGGCAGGGAGCGAUGGAUCGACUGAGCGACGGCUAUGUUAGGAGCUGUCUGAGAUGGUGAGGGCAGAAGCACAGAGACGAAAAAGGCAUCCAUGUGGUUUGGUUCACCUUGCAGCAGCUAAAGGAAGAAGACGAUGAACAAAAGGAGGAAGGAUGAGCUAGAUGCUUCUACUUUCUGUGAUUGAGCAUAAAUGCAAGACUCUAGAAGCCUGACCCGGAGAGCCGACCCAGUACUGGCGGUGCCACAUGCACUGCCUUGCUGGCUGCGGGGUUAUAGAUUGUUGUGGCGCUUGCUCUUGAAGUGUAGAAGUGGAGCUGGAGGUGGCCAGGAUGGAAAGAGCCAUGGCAACCUGAUCCAACCUAAUUUUCUUGCACUGAUGUUGCAGUGGGUAGUUUAGGUACAAGACUUCAUCGAGUCAGAUAGUGCUGAAGUAAUGCAGAUGCUGAAGAAUACUACACGAGACUUUGUCACCUUUAGGUCAUCUCCAAUAUGCCAGGUUGUGGGCAUAGGUUUAGCCGUUUAGGCCAGGACGCCAACUUGUGGGCAUUAGUAAAAUACCUCGGUAGUUAAAAUGUAGAAAGUCAUUUGUUAGCUGGUUUUGGUAGAAGCAAUGACUGUAUGGAGGUAUGGUUAGGGUCAGAGCCAGAUCGUAUUCUGGGCUCCCUUCUAAGGGAUUGUAAUACACUUACAUCUGUUUAAUACAGUUCCUUUACCCCUGCAAAACAAAAGCUAGUUGAUUUGAAGGUUAAAUGCACUGGGUCUCCACAUUUU